rnacentral:rRNA from 1 species
GACUGAGGCCUCAAGCGUUAGGCGGAAUCACUGGGCUUAAAGCGUGUGUAGGCGGACUUCUAAGUGCCUUGUGAAAUCCCACGGCUCAACCGUGGAACUGCUGGGCAUACUGGGAGUCUUGGGCCAUUCAGGGGCAACUGGAACAAGCGGUGGAGCGGUGAAAUGCGUAGAUAUCAGGAGGAACACCGGUGGCGAAGGCGGGUCUCUGGGCCGAUACUGACGCUGAGGAGCGAAAGCGUGGGGAGCGAACAGG